rnacentral:rRNA from 1 species
AUUGAACGCUGGCGGAAUGCUUUACACAUGCAAGUCGAACGGCAGCACGGACUUCGGUCUGGUGGCGAGUGGCGAACGGGUGAGUAACAUAUCGGAACGUAUCCAAUAAUGGGGGAUAACAUAUCGAAAGAUGUGCUAAUACCGCAUACGCCCUGAGGGGGAAAGCUGGGGACCUUCGGGCCUGGCGUUAAUGGAGCGGCCGAUAUCUGAUUAGCUAGUUGGUGAGGUAAAGGCUCACCAAGGCGACGAUCAGUAGCUGGUCUGAGAGGACGACCAGCCACACUGGAACUGAGACACGGUCCAGACUCCUACGGGAGGCAGCAGUGGGGAAUUUUGGACAAUGGGCGCAAGCCUGAUCCAGCCAUUCCGCGUGAGUGAAGAAGGCCUUCGGGUUGUAAAGCUCUUUCGCAAGGGAAGAAAACUUAGCCACUAACAUUGGUUGAGGUUGACGGUACCUUGAUAAGAAGCACCGGCUAACUACGUGCCAGCCGCCGCAGUAA